rnacentral:rRNA from 1 species
UACAGAGGGUGCGAGCGUUAAUCGGAAUUACUGGGCGUAAAGCGUGCGUAGACGGUUAUGUAAGUCGGGUGUGAAAGCCCCGGGCUCAACCUGGGAAUUGCAUUCGAGACUGCAUAGCUAGGAUGCGGAAGAGGGAAGUGGAAUUUCCGGUGUAGCGGUGAAAUGCGUAGAUAUCGGAAGGAACAUCAGUGGCGAAAGCGACUUCCUGGACCAAUACUGACGCUCAUGUGCGAAAGCGUGGGAGCAACAGG